rnacentral:lncRNA from 1 species
AAAAUCAUGAUUCACAUUAACCUAAGACUUACAAGAACUAAAUGAGCAUUAAAGUCUUAACACAUGCAAUACACUCAUAUUUCAAUCAUUACUAUUCAUCAUACAAUUCGAUAAGGUGCUGCCAGAGAAUAUGCGCCACUUGGUCUUGCAGUCAGGAAUCCUUUGAGGUCCCAAAUUGAUAUUGUUUCAUCUUUGUUAGUUACUUGUAAUUUACACUAUUUUAAUCUAUUUUACACCAUGUCAAUGUCAAGCGCUAAACAUGAGUUUUGUUAUUUGACUAGCUUCGACUAACAUUUCAUUCAAAAUUGUAGUGUAGCUCUUUGGCUCCACCAGGAGCAUUUACGUACUGUUGAAUCCAAGUAGAUGGAUGGUGGGAUCCGGGGGUUCAUACUUUCAAGGAAAACAUAAAUGGUCUUAACGUUUGUUGGACGGAUACCUAAUGCAACCACCAUCCUUACUUUGUUUUAGGGACAUUGGAUGUUUGCCUUAGCUCUAUAUAUUUGCUUGGCAUGCUUGUGGCCUUGCCUGCUUACUAUUUCCUACUUGCCGUAGCUCGUGUUCGUCGGCAGAGAGAGAAAUAGCAAUCGUGACAAGUUGGAUACGUGUUGUACUGUUUGGAUUGGGAGUCAUCCAGGAACAAUCAGCUGCCUGUCAAAAUUCUUUCGCCUGAGCUUGGGUGUGUUUGGCUGCGCUUUUGUUACAAGGCCGACGCGGCCCCUGCGUGCUGACUACCCGUAUUCUAUAUGGAACAGGGGUCGAUGUGUCUAAAGACUACUCGGUGACGACAUUUGCAUAGCAGCCUCCACUUCCAGCGGUAUGUAUUCCGAGGGUACGAGUUGGGAAACACGGGUCAGCCGAAUACCAGAUGUUCCUGGAGCUCCUUUACCUUGACCUCUGAACACAGAUCGGCUUGCCCCUCCUUCUCCAGCUUCGAGUGAUGCUCCUCCCGCUCGUUGAGCUCCUUCUCCCAUGCCUUCUAGUCCUCCCCCUCCUCAAGCUCCGUGUUCCUCGCCCAAAGCUUCUCCAGCGACUUCUCCACUGCCUUCUCCUGCUGAGUGAGAUCCUCCCUCUCCUCGUGGUCCUUGAGCAGAGCUGACUCCCGCUCCUCAAGAUGCUUCUCGCACUGAGUGAGCUCCGCUCCUCUCGCUUGAAGCUCUAGAAGCUCAUGCUCCUUGGACUCAAUAUCCUACUCCUCCGACUCAAUCUCCUCCAGACACCCCCUGAUCUUCUCCUCCCUCUGCCCCAUCUCCUCCUUUCUUGCGCUCUUGUCGACACAGAAUCUCUCCUUGUCGAGACCGAGUUGGCACCAAGCGCUCGUAAUGUUUGUCUUGGCUUUCUUGAUCUCAUACUCCUGCCACACGCUGAGAUACAUGGCGUUGGAGGUGAUGUGCCCAGGAUGCGAAUGCAAGAGAGGGUGCCGGCCGUGGGGCUUGUGGCUGCCAUGUGGUUGGAGUAGUGACUGAGGCACAUCAGUUUUAAAUAGCGGGCUACGGCAAAUAGCGGUGAGCCUCUAAAUCAGCUAUAGCGGGCUAUAGCGGUAUAUUUGUACAUGAUACCAUUUAACGACAUCUUGUUGAAAAGGCUAUAGCAAGGCUAUAGCGGGGCUAUAGCGGGCUAUUUAAAACUAUGGUUGAAACCCAUUAGGCCUCAGGCGUGCAGGCGGAAGUUGGCCACAGGGUUGGUUGUUCGUCUGCGCUGGAUUUGCAUGCACAACUUAUUAUUGAAAAGUUUACAGUAAUCUUUUGUACUCCCUCCGUUUCUUUUUACUCCGCGUAUAAGAUUUGAUCAAAGUCAAACAACAUAAAGUUUGAU